GGGGUAAAAAUGCCAGUUAGUUGUUCUGUUAUCCAAAUUCAAUGUCCUCAGAUUAUUUUCUAUUUUCAACUUCUUAACACUUCCUUAAAUGAAAACGCCUUCUUUAAAUAUACUUUCUCUAGAAUGUACUUUCAGAGAGUGGGGAAGAAUGUUUCCAUCACGUGAGUCUGUCUAGGUGUCUUCUACAGAAGAUUUCUUUCUGUGAUUUCAAAUAUACGAGAGAUCAGAGAUCCCCAAACACUAGCCUCCAGCGGGUACCAAUCUCUGGCCCGUUGGCAACCUGGAUGGUGAACCACUCGCACUGCCUGAGCCGCGCCACCCGUGGGAUCAGCGGAGGAACCCUACUGUGAACUGCGCAUGCGAAAGAUCUAGGUGGCGCUCUCCUUGGGAAAAUGUAAUAUCUGAGGACGACCUGAGGUGGAACAGUUUCAUCUGCAAACCGUCCUACUUAUCCUCCCGCUGCCACGCCCUGUCCUCCUCACAGAUCCGCUGCCCAAUCCCCACCCCCGUCACACUGCUGUGACCCGCAGCCCCGCCACAACCCGUGCGCACUGGAACCCUGACGCCCUCCAGGCUCCCCAACGUGUCCAACUCACAGCCUUCUCCCUUUACACACUCCUAGUCUGGGGAAAAAUCAUCUUCCACUAAACGAGUCCUUGGUGCCAAAAUGGUAACAGAUUAAACGAGUUCAUUAUGUUACUCAGGUUGGUCUCCAUCUCCUGACCACAAGCCAUCCUCCCACCUUCACCUUCCCAAAUGCCAGGAUUACAAGAGUAAGUCAGUGUCCCAGGUAAAUAAAAUAACUUAAGCACAUUUAUUUUGCUUCUGUUUUAGGCUAUUGCCAUUUAUCUUGAUUGCACUCACUUAUUCGGAUUAAAUUAUUUACUAUGCCAGAGAUACAGGAAACAAGUUUCAAAUCCUGUCAUGUAAGGAGGGAGACAAUUCAAGGCUUUACAGAGGGAAAUUUAAACUGUGAUUAUUCAUGGUCCCAGACUUCUACGUACACUAAAGUAACGCAUUUUAUGUCAAAUAUCCAUAAUUUCUGUCAAGCAAACUAGAAAUCUGACAUGUGCUAACUGAAAGGACAAGUUUUUAAUCACAGUGGUUAAGUAGAUUGCCUGUCUAUUUAAAUUAUGGCCACAUGCACAAAGGAAAACUGCUUUAAUAAAAAGUGCACAUGAGGCGCCCUAGCUCGCUGUCCCACAACUUGCCCACCUGUCAGACAUGGCUGACAGUAGAAGCAAGAAUCCUCAUGAAACAGACAAUGAGUUUACAAAAAUGAGUUUCUAAAUAACACUAGCGAUUUCUUUCCCUACUGUCUCUUCCCGUAAUUCAAUACAGACACAUUAAAAACCCAGCCUGUUUUAUA